AAGCCCCAAGGGGAAAGGAAAGCUGAAGGACGAUGGCAGAGGAAACGGGCCCCACAUCCCAUGCUCAUGUGAAACUGUGCGGUCAUAUCGAUGAGAGAGAAAGCAAAGCCAUGAUGGAAGACAGCAAUCAAUCUUCCAGUCUGGAAUUAUUCUCGUUCGUGGCGUACGCUACCAGAGACCGCAAGGCUUGUCAUCGGCAUCAUGCCCUCCACCGCCUCCACGCUUUGUAUUGUAAUCAACAUAAGUAUAAUGGCUCUCGCUUUCAGUGCAAGUGCUUAUCGAUCUCAGUAGAGACGAAGGAGGGAGAGUAUUUUGCAAGACUGGUGCGUGGGACGGGUUGGUAUGAAGCAUGUGAUGGGUCCUCCCUUGUGCCGGAAGAAACGAGCUGUGGUAGGUAGGCUCGGCCCCCUGGUAUUCAUAAGCUAAUGGAUUGCAGUUGGGAAGGGGACAAGGCGUGGGGACGGCGUGACUGUUCUCUUCAUGUGGAGGAUGAUGGCGUUUUAUGCGCAUUCAUUGGGAUCGCUGUUUGUACACAUGGGUUUGGUAGAGUGUUAAAUGUGUAAGAAAGGAUAUCGUCACUUGGAUGAGCAACAGAGCCUUCACUUGGUAGCCAAACAGGUUAGUGUAGUGGAAGAAACAGAGCAGAGAGAACAGGAAAGACACAGCACAUUGCAUCAAACACCACAUGGGCUAACGGGGAAUGCAACGCCCGCGAUGUGUUCGGCAAAACGACCCACCGAUAAAAGACGCCUUGUGCUCGGCCCGGCCUGGCAGUCUUCCUUACAGCUCUUCUUUUUUUACAUUUUCCGGAAUAUUACCUCAAAUUCCAUGUCGAUUCUGUGUAGCAAAUAUAAACCUAUAGAUGAGGUUAAAAUUGAGUUAGACUAAUCAGGAUUAACAGAUUUGAGUUAGACUAACGAGGUUAAAAUUGAUGAUGACACUAAUUUGGCUGAACUCACUGUUGUUAGAGUCGUUCUAUUGCCAGAAUCAACGCCUGGAUCCCCAAUUCCCCUUCCCCGUGCGCCGAAAGCGAGACAUACAGGUGGGCGUACACCAUCCCCUCCAUCAACCCCACCAUCGUCGACGCGAUCGCAAUCUGGUUCCCGAGUUUGGCACUCUGCCCCUUGCCCUGCUCCGCCCUUGUACCUCGCCGUUCCCAUGCACCCCGAACAGCGGCCCCAGCUGCUCCGCCCGUCUACCAGCGAUCUCGGCUGCGAGGGUGAGGUCGCUGGUGGUCAUGUAGACGAGGAUGGAGCCCGGGGCCAGGCCGGAGAGAGCUCCUUCGGAGGGAUCGAGGGUGACUCGGCGGACGUCGGAACGGUAGCCGACGAUGAGGAAUACGACAUUGCUGGCGCGCGCUACGGCAGCGGAGGAGCCGGCGAGUUCGGCACCCCGAUCGAGUCCGUGAUGCCGGUCCCGAUCCAGCCGAUCCAGGUCGUGAUCGGGUAUAUGGUCGAUCUGUCGAGAGAGCAGCGGCCAUGGCGGAGCACCGACAGCGGAUCACGGAGCGAGGGCGGAGGAACGCCGGGAAGCGAGCGGGCAUCGGGAGUAUGAUCAGUGGCACAUCGGAUAUAUAGCUGGGUGUGUUCAAGAUGGUGAAGUUCACAGUGUAAAAGCUCCGGAAUAUGAUGGACAAGAAGCAUGACAUCCGCAACAUGUCUGUCAUUGUUCAUGUUGAUCAUGAAGACGAUGAGUAAUGAGAGAUGACAGAUGUUUCUUGGAGCUCCAGGUUGAAGGUGAGGAAGCGUAUCAGACAUUUCGACAGUGUCAUUGAGACUGCAGAUGUGGUCAUGGCUACCUACGAAGACCCCCUUCUUGGUGAUGUUCAAGUCCAUCCUGAGCACCGGACUGUUUUCUCUGCCGGAUUGCAUGGCUGGGCUUUGCCAAGAAGUAUGCAGCCAAAUUUGGAGUCGAUGAGUUGAAGAAUGAGUUGAAGAACACGGAUUCUCCUACCUGUAAGCGUUGUCCAACUUUGCUAUGAACCAACCGGGCAAAUCAUCGAUCUUUGCAUGACGGAUCAGAAAGAGAGGUGGUGGGUGACAUGCUGCAGAAACUUGGUGUCACCAUGAUAGCAGAGGAGAGACAACUGACGGGUAAAGCUUUAACGAAGAGGUUCAUGCAAGCUUGGCUGCCGGCAAGCGAUGCCCUUUUUGAGAUGAUAUCUUCCACCUUCCUUCUCCUGCCAAGGCACAAAAGUAUCGUGCGGAGAACGUGUACGAAGGUCCACUCGAUGAUGUGUAUACAAAUGCAAUCAGAAACUGUGAUCAGGACGGCCCUCUUAUGCCGUAUGUAUCGAAGAUGAUUCCAGCUUCGGACAAGGGCGGAUUCUUCGCUUUCAGACAAGUCUUUUCCUGGAAGGCUUCAACAGGAAGCAGAGUUCGAAUCAUGGGACGAAACUACGUUCCCGGGCAAAUGAAAGACCUGUACGUGAAGAGCGUCCAAAGAAGAGACAUAUAUGGAUGGGAAAGAUACAAGAGGCAGUCAAGGACGUGCCUGCCUUGUGGGAAUACAGUGGACAUGCUUGGAUUGGAUCAGUUCAUCACCAAGAAUGCGAACGAGGAGGAAGCCGAUGCUUUUCCGAUCAGGGCGAUGAAGUUCUCUGUAUCCCCUUUCGUACGUGUUGCCGUGCAUGUAAAAUUCUAAUCCAGUGAUAUUUUUAUGACACAUCUUCUAACCUCUUUUUUCUUAUGUAUUUUUUUAUCAUGUUCAAUACAAGAUCGGUUCUUGUAUCA